UCCUGACUGACCGAUAGUGAACCAGUACCGUGAGGGAAAGGCGAAAAGAACCCCGGCGAGGGGAGUGAAAAAGAACCUGAAACCGUGUACGUACAAGCAGUGGGAGCACGCUUAGGCGUGUGACUGCGUACCUUUUGUAUAAUGGGUCAGCGACUUAUAUUCUGUAGCAAGGUUAACCGAAUAGGGGAGCCGAAGGGAAACCGAGUCUUAACUGGGCGUUAAGUUGCAGGGUAUAGACCCGAAACCCGGUGAUCUAGCCAUGGGCAGGUUGAAGGUUGGGUAACACUAACUGGAGGACCGAACCGACUAAUGUUGAAAAAUUAGCGGAUGACUUGUGGCUGGGGGUGAAAGGCCAAUCAAACCGGGAGAUAGCUGGUUCUCCCCGAAAGCUAUUUAGGUAGCGCCUCGUGAAUUCAUCUCCGGGGGUAGAGCACUGUUUCGGCAAGGGGGUCAUCCCGACUUACCAACCCGAUGCAAACUGCGAAUACCGGAGAAUGUUAUCACGGGAGACACACGGCGGGUGCUAACGUCCGUCGUGAAGAGGGAAACAACCCAGACCGCCAGCUAAGGUCCCAAAGUCAUGGUUAAGUGGGAAACGAUGUGGGAAGGCCCAGACAGCCAGGAUGUUGGCUUAGAAGCAGCCAUCAUUUAAAGAAAGCGUAAUAGCUCACUGGUCGAGUCGGCCUGCGCGGAAGAUGUAACGGGGCUAAACCAUGCACCGAAGCUGCGGCAGCGACGCUUAUGCGUUGUUGGGUAGGGGAGCGUUCUGUAAGCCUGCGAAGGUGUGCUGUGAGGCAUGCUGGAGGUAUCAGAAGUGCGAAUGCUGACAUA
rnacentral:rRNA from 1 species